GGAGGAUCCAAGCGUUAUCCGGAAUCAUUGGGUUUAAAGGGUCCGUAGGCGGUUUAGUAAGUCAGUGGUGAAAGCCCAUCGCUCAACGGUGGAACGGCCAUUGAUACUGCUAGACUUGAAUUAUUAGGAAGUAACUAGAAUAUGUAGUGUAGCGGUGAAAUGCUUAGAGAUUACAUGGAAUACCAAUUGCGAAGGCAGGUUACUACUAAUGGAUUGACGCUGAUGGACGAAAGCGUGGGUAGCGAACAGGAUUAGAUACCCUGGUAGUCCACGCCGUAAACGAUGGAUACUAGCUGUUGGGAGCAAUCUCAGUGGYUAARMGRAAGUGAUAAGUAUCCCACCUGGGGAGUACGUUC
rnacentral:rRNA from 1 species